AACGAACGCUGGCGGCAUGCCUAACACAUGCAAGUCGAACGAGACCUUCGGGUCUAGUGGCGCACGGGUGCGUAACGCGUGGGAACCUGCCCUUAGGUUCGGAAUAACUCCCCGAAAGGGGUGCUAAUACCGGAUAAUGUCUUCGGACCAAAGAUUUAUCGCCUUUGGAUGGGCCCGCGUUGGAUUAGCUAGUUGGUAGGGUAAAAGCCUACCAAGGCGACGAUCCAUAGCUGGUCUGAGAGGAUGAUCAGCCACACUGGGACUGAGACACGGCCCAGACGGCUAUGGGAGGCCGCAGUGGGGAAGUGUGGAGAAAGGGGGAAGGCGUGAUCAAGCAAUGCCGAUGGUGGGAAGAAGGUAUUCGGAUUUGAAAGCACUAUAAGUGGGGGGGAAGGGCAGUAAGUUAAUACCUUGCUGCCCUGACGUUACCAACAGAAGAAGCACCGGCUAACUUCGUG
rnacentral:rRNA from 1 species